UACAGAGGAGCCAAGCGUUGUCCGGAUUGACUGGGCGUAAAGCGCACGCAGGCGGACGCGCGCGUGGGGUGUGAAAUCUGGCCGCUUAACGGCCAGGCGCCAUCCCAUACGGCGCGUCUGGAGUGAUGCAGAGGUCGGUGGAAUUGCCGGUGUAGUGGUGAAAUGCGUAGAGAUCGGCAGGAACACCCAGGGGGGAAACCAGCCGACUGGGCAUCUACUGACGCUGAGGUGCGAGAGCGUGGGGAGCGAACCGG
rnacentral:rRNA from 1 species